rnacentral:rRNA from 1 species
UGAGGAAUAUUGGUCAAUGGCCGGAAAGGCUGAACCAGCCAAGCCGCGUGAAGGACGAAGGUGCCAAGCAUUGUAAACUUCUUUUGUCAAGGGACAAAAUCAGGCUCGAGAGCCUGACCGAGGGUACUUGAAGAAAAAGCAUCGGCUAACUCCGUGCC